GGAAGGAUCAUUAUCGAAGUCGAAAGUCUAGGAAGGGGAAGGGGAUGCGACCGUCGCCGCGUCGAAAGGCGUGGGCACGUCGCCCCUCGGACCCUCCGAAGCUUCAACCUUCUCUACACCCGUGUGCACCGCUGUAGGCCCUUCGGGGUCUAUGUCUUCUCUCUCGAACUCGCAUGUCUACAGAAUGUCUAAGUCGCGUCGACCGGCCUGGCCGGCGACCGCAAACCUUUGUACAACUUUCAGCAAUGGAUCUCUUGGCUCUCGCAUCGAUGAAGAACGCAGCGAAUCGCGAUAAGUAAUGUGAAUUGCAGAUUUUCCGUGAAUCAUCGAAUCUUUGAACGCACCUUGCGCUCCUCGGUAUUCCGAGGAGCAUGCCUGUUUGAGUGUCAUCGAAAUCUCGAACCGAAGCCUUCGAUCCGUCGAAGUUCGGUCUCGGAACUUAUGGGGGUCUGCGGGCGGCGACGUCGGCUCUCCUCAAAAGCAUUAGCUGUGGGCGCUGGCCCUGCGUGGCACGGCCUCUUCGACGUCGUAAUGAUCGUCGUGGGCUGGAAGCGCAUGGGGAUCGGCACGUCCCAUGCUUCUCAACCUACUGCGAGUCCGUUUGCUCCGUGGACGGCCGCGUGCAUCGACUCUUGACCUCAAAUCAGG
rnacentral:rRNA from 1 species